UGGUGGAGUGAUUUGUCUGGUUAAUUCCGAUAACGAACGAGACCACAGCCUGCUAAAUAGUCACGCGUUCUCUUUGCGUAAGCGAUGAGAACGUGGAAGUACUUCUUAGAGGGACUAUUGGGGUUUACCCAAUGGAAGUUUGUGGCAAUAACA
rnacentral:rRNA from 1 species